CUUAGCAGAGAUGCUUUGGUGCCUUCGGGAACUCUGAGACAGGUGCUGCAUGGCUGUCGUCAGCUCGUGUUGUGAAAUGUUGGGUUAAGUCCCGCAACGAGCGCAACCCUUAUCCUUUGUUGCCAGCGGUUAGGCCGGGAACUCAAAGGAGACUGCCAGUGAUAAACUGGAGGAAGGUGGGGAUGACUGUCAAGUCAUCAUGGCCCUUACGAGUAGGGCUACACACGUGCUACAAUGGCGCAUACAAAGAGAAGCGACCUCGCGAGAGCAAGCGGACCUCAUAAAGUGCGUCGUAGUCCGGAUUGGAGUCUGCAACUCGACUCCAUGAAGUCGGAAUCGCUAGUAAUCGUGGAUCAGAAUGCCACGGUGAAUACGUUCCCGGGCCUUGUACACACCGCCCGUCACACCAUGGGAGUGGGUUGCAAAAGAAGUAGGUAGCUUAACCUUCGGGAGGGCGCUUACCACUUUGUGAUUCAUGACUGGGGUGAAGUCGUAACAAGGUAAGCGUAGUGCU
rnacentral:rRNA from 1 species